rnacentral:misc_RNA from 1 species
GAUGAAGAACGCAGCGAAAUGCGAUAAGUAAUGUGAAUUGCAGAAUUCAGUGAAUCAUCGAAUCUUUGAACGCACAUUGCGCCCCCUGGUAUUCCGGGGGGCAUGCCUGUCCGAGCGUCAUUACACCACUCAAGCCUCGCUUGGUAUUGGGCAACGCGGUCCGCCGCGUGCCUCAAAUCGACCGGCUGGGUCUUCUGUCCCCUAAGCGUUGUGGAAACUAUUCGCUAAAGGGUGUUCGGGAGGCUACGCCGUAAAACAACCCCAUUUCUAAGGUUGACCUCGGAUCAGGUAGGGAUACCCGCUGAACUUAAGCAUAUCAAUAAGCGGAGGA